rnacentral:rRNA from 1 species
CGCGUAGGCGGUUGUGUGAGUGUGAUGUGAAAGCCCUGGGCUUAACCUGGGAAGUGCAUCGCAAACGACAUAACUGGAGUAUAAGAGAGGGUGGCGGAAUUUCCGGUGUAGCGGUGAAAUGCGUAGAGAUCGGAAGGAACGUCAAUGGCGAAGGCAGCCACCUGGCUUAAUACUGACGCUGAGGCGCGAAAGCGUGGGUAGCGAACAGGAUUAGAUACCCUGGUAGUCCACGCUGUAAACGAUGAGAACUAGAUGUUGGUAGGGGAACCUAUCAGUAUCGAAGCUAACGCGAUAAGUUCUCCGCCUGGGAAGUACGGCCGCAAGGUUGAA